rnacentral:rRNA from 1 species
AGUGAACGCUGGCGGUAGGCCUAACACAUGCAAGUCGAACGAGUGGCGGACGGGUGAGGAAUAUGUCGAAAUCUACUCUGUCGUGGGGGAAAACGUAGGAACACUUACGCUAAUCCCCCCUAAGAUUGAAUGAGCCGAUGUCAGAUUAGCUAGUGGGUGGGUGAAAGGCGCCCCAAGGCGACGAUCCGUAGCUGGUCUGAGAGGAUGAUCAGCCAACCUGGAACUGAGACACGGUCCAGACUCCUACGGGAGGCAGCAGGGGGGAAUAUUGGGCAAUGGGCGCAAGCCUGAUCGAGCGAUGCCGCGUGGGUGAAGAAGGCCUUCGGGUUAUAAAGCCCUUUUGUUGAGAAAGCGGUACCUAAAGAAGAAGCACCGGCUAACUACGUGCCAGCAGCCGCGGUAAUUC